GGGGGCGUACUGGUUUCGACGGGUAGCCUUAGUUCGGAGCUGCAUGCCGAGGAUGAUUCGUUGGCCUCGUUAAAAUCGCGGAUCAAAAACAUAAAUGUGAACUCUAACGAGCUCGCUCUCGCGGCUUAAGCCCCGCGACGUCCCGCAGGCGAUGUCUGGUGGCCUGCGCGACGACACCACCAGGCUGGGCUGAUGGCCGGGCGACCGGGUCGCAGCCGAGAUCAAACAGGACGCUGGGUGAAGAGUAGGCCGUCUCAAGCCGCCUCCAGCCGAGACCAAAGAUGAGACUGAGCAUGGAGACGCUGCGGAUGAUGGUUAUUCGGACAGGGGUUCAAAUCCCCUCGCCUCCACUU
rnacentral:tmRNA from 1 species